UCCCCGCUCCCUCGGGCAGCUCCGGCCGCGGCCGCCGCCGAGCGAGGGGAUGCAGAGGAGGAGGCGCGAGGAGGAGGGCAGGAAGCCGUUGUCGCGGCGGCGCGCGGCUGGGGCGGGCGCUGUGCGGGUGGCAGCCCGUUGGAACGCGUGCCGUUGCUAGCGGCUUGCUUGCCGUGACGCCGCUAAGCACGGCUGUGCGCCGCAACCGGAGCCGAGCCGACGCCGCGCUGCCAGAUAUAACGGAGUUGAACAGAGAGAGCUUGUGAAACAAGAGAUCUUGAAGGCAAAGCACAACGGCAGGGAGAAGCUCAGCCUCAGAUAGGUGUACAUGGCCACAGCCAGCAGACGGGCAUGAAGACGCUAGCAGAGACACAGGCCAAAGAGCAGCAAGACCACCUCAGCUACGGAGCAGCCAGAGUGCCUGAAAAUGCGACAAGCACCAGGAGGCUGUGCAUAAUGGUCUGCCGUUUUCAUCAUCCUCACUACUUCUUCUCCUGUUGAAGGAUGAUUAAGAAGACAAGUCGAACAGAAUGCAGCUGGCACGUCUGCAGGAACACCUGGAAAAUAAAAAAUUUGGCUCACCUGA